UACGGGGGGAGCAAGCGUUGUUCGGAUUUACUGGGCGUAAAGGGCGCGUAGGCGGCCACCGCAAGUCGACUGUGAAAUCUCCGGGCUUAGCCCGGAAAGGUCAGCCGAUACUGCGGGGCUAGAGUGCAGAAGGGGCAACUGGAAUUCUCGGUGUAGCGGUGAAAUGCGUAGAUAUCGGAAGGAACACCAGUGGCGAAAGCGGCUUCCUGGUCCAGCACCGACGUUCAGGCACGAAAGCGUGGGGAGCAAACAGG
rnacentral:rRNA from 1 species